rnacentral:rRNA from 1 species
UACGUAGGGGCAAGCGUUGUCCGGAAUCAUUGGGCGUAAAGAGCGUGUAGGCGGCUCGAUAAGUCUGCUGUGAAAGUCCAGGGCUCAACCCUGGAAGGCCGGUGGAAACUGUCGGGCUAGAGUCCGGAAGAGGCGAGUGGAAUUCCCGGUGUAGCGGUGAAAUGCGCAGAUAUCGGGAGGAACACCAAUGGCGAAGGCAGCUCGCUGGGACGGUACUGACGCUGAGACGCGAAAGCGUGGGGAGCAACAGGA